AGCUCCAGUAGCGUAUAUUAAAGUUGUUGCAGUUAAAAAGCUCGUAGUUGGAUUUCUGGUGUGGUGCGUUUGGUCCGCCACCGAUAGGUGAGUGAGUACCGAGCUUUUUUUGCGCCUACCAUCCUUCCGGGAAGCUUGUCUGGCCUUCAUUGGUUUUUCGGAUGAUGUCUACCUGGAUCAUUUACUGUGAACAAAUUAGAGUGUUUCACGCAGGCGUUUCUGCUUGAAUACAUUAGCAUGGAAUAAUAAGAUAGGACUUUGGUACUAUUUUGUUGGUUUCUAGCACUAAAGUAAUGAUUGAUAGGGACAGUUGGGGGUGCUAGUAUUUAACGGCCAGAGGUGAAAUUCUUGGAUUCGUUAAAGACUAACUAAUGCGAAAGCAUUCACCAAGGAUGUCUUCUUUA
rnacentral:rRNA from 1 species